AGAUACUGUGAGUUUAAAUCCUGGGCCCACCCACACCAGCUCUGUUACUUGAAGCAUGCUAUUGAACUUGCCUAAACUUCAGUUUGCUCAUCUGUAAAAUGGGAGCUAUAAUAGUGCCAGACUCAUAAGACUGAUGGGAGAAUGUAGUGAGCUGAAGUGUGUAAAGCACUGAUAAAUAUCUGAUAAAAGUUUGGCAAUGAUAAGAUGCCAUUAUUAAUAUGGUUACUAUAGUGCUAAUGUCUAGAGGAGCCCCAUGUGGCAUGCAGCUAUACCCUGUGGACUUAUGAUCUCUCUUUAUUUCAUGCAAAAUGGAAAGUGUACAGUCAUGAAUCAGGGUUUGAGUGUGAGAGCAGACAAGUAGUGAUAUUUAAAUAUUCAUUAGCUAGGGUUCAUCUAGGUCCCUGGGGACAGGCGAGGAUCCUCAGGAUUAAUUUCAGGGGCCUUUUCCCUGAAAUGGGUGGGGAAACUCUGCUAUGGUCAUAUGCAUCUUAUUAAGCACUGCUUGACAUGCUCCCUACCACAAAAGUGCUGCGAUUUCAAGAUUUCCCUCUUUUACAGGAAAACCACAGAACGAGAAUCUACACUGUAAACUUUAAAUCUACUUAAGCCCAGAAGGAGCCUGUUACUUCAUAGAAGAAUCUUAUUUUGCCUUCAGAAGAAGCAGUUAUCAAGUGCUUGCUGGACUUCAGCUGUUUUCACAUCCAUUUUAUUUUGAAACUCAAUUGCCCUGCAGACCUUUUGAUCCUUGAGUGAUAGGUGAGGCACCUGAGUACAUGGGAGUGAAUGCACAUGUUCAUGACUUUUCUGGAAUUUGCACCAUUGGAAAAUGGAAGGUCCAUACACCGUGUCAGGGGAACCAGGUGCUGAGACCCUUCCGGACUCAUUUACACACUGAGCUUCAACCAGAUCCCCCUGACCAGUCUACCUGGUCCCUUCUUUCCAGCCCGUGAACCUUGGGAAAUGAAGCAAGGAUGCUGCCAUGAUGUGCAUACUCAGGAUACAGGAAAAUGCAAGAAGGAGGGGUUCGAAGGCUUUGCAUAAAAAUAUCAAAUGAGGUUGAGCAACUGUUGAAAUAUGAGGAAAUUGCUUCCAGCACUUUAAAGUCUUGGCUUGACUCAUAAUUUAACCUUGAAUAUAGUUUUCAAAAAUCAUUAAAUCCCCAAAGCCUUCAUCUCAAGCAGUGAUUAGCCAUGAUGCAGUAAGCAGGAAGUUAAUGUAUUUAUUUAUGAGAAGGUAUGUAAUGCAUGAAAAGUCUAUUCAUUCAGUACUCAUGCCGUGAAUAUUUACUGAUGGCUUGCUCAGUUACAAGCACUAUGCUAAGUGCUGGGAAGUAGGACAGUGAGUGAGCACAGCCUCCUUCCCCACAAGGCGCUUUCAAUCUAAUAGCAGGAGGGACAAGGAGUCAACAUUUAUGGAAUAUUGCUGCAUGCCAGACAUUGUGCUAGAAAUUUUUCACACAUUAACCCCUACAAGAACCAUGCAAUUUUCCCUGAAUUAUAUAUUAGUCAAACGAUGUAGCUGUUUGGGGUUCAUUAUCUCACACCAAGAAGAUUAAGGAGACAGGCACACACAGGAGUGAGUUUAGGAGUGGACGUUUAAUAGGCAAAAGAAAGAGAAAAGAGAACAGCUCUCUCUCUUGCAAGAGAGUGAAGUACCCGAAUGGGACCUCUGGGCCAUGGUGGAAUGCACCAGAUUUUAUAGACAGACUUGAGGACUCGGUGUCUGAUUUACAUAGGACCUACAGAUUGGUUGGACCACGUGUGAUGUUUACAUAGCAUGUGGGAAAGACGGGCCACCCCACCCUAAUCUUAUCAUGCAAAUGGACUUUCCACUUGGCCAGCACCAUGUUGUCUGCUCCUUGCUGUACACAUGGCUGGCAAAGAGAAGGGAACAUGGAGCCACCAUUUUG
rnacentral:lncRNA from 13 species